rnacentral:rRNA from 1 species
UUCAAAGAUUAAGCCAUGCAUGUCUAAGUAUAAGCAAUUAUACAGCGAAACUGCGAAUGGCUCAUUAUAUAAGUUAUCGUUUAUUUGAUAGUACCUUACUACAUGGAUAACCGUGGUAAUUCUAGAGCUAAUACAUGCUAAAAAUCCCAACUUCGGAAGGGAUGUAUUUAUUAGAUUAAAAACCAAUGCCCUCCGGGGCUCACUGGUGAUUCAUAAUAACUUCUCGAAUCGCAUGGCCUUGCGCCGGCGAUGGUUCAUUCAAAUUUCUUCCCUAUCAACUUUCGAUGUUUGGGUAUUGGCCAAACAUGGUUGCAACGGGUAACGGAGGGUUAGGGCUCGACCCCGGAGAAGGAGCCUGAGAAACGGCUACUACAUCCAAGGAAGGCAGCAGGCGCGCAAAUUACCCAAUCCCGACUCGGGGAGGUAGUGACAAUAAAUACUGAUACAGGGCUCUUUUGGGUCUUGUAAUUGGAAUGAGUACAAUUUAAAUCCCUUAACGAGGAACAAUUGGAGGGCAAGUCUGGUGCCAGCAGCCGCGGUAAUUCCAGCUCCAAUAGCGUAUAUUAAAGUUGUUGUGGUUAAAAAGCUCGUAGUUGAACCUUGGGCCUGGCUGGCCGGUCCGCCUCACCGCGUGUACUGGUCCGGCCGGGCCUUUCCCUCUGUGGAACCCCAUGCCCUUCACUGGGUGUGGCGGGGAAACAGGACUUUUACUGUGAAAAAAUUAGAGUGCUCCAGGCAGGCCUAUGCUCGAAUACAUUAGCAUGGAAUAAUAGAAUAGGACGUGUGGUUCUAUUUUGUUGGUUUCUAGGACCGCCGUAAUGAUUAAUAGGGACAGUCGGGGGCAUCAGUAUUCAAUUGUCAGAGGUGAAAUUCUUGGAUUUAUUGAAGACUAACUACUGCGAAAGCAUUUGCCAAGGAUGUUUUCAUUAAUCAGGAACGAAAGUUAGGGGAUCGAAGACGAUCAGAUACCGUCGUAGUCUUAACCAUAAACUAUGCCGACUAGGGAUCGGACGGUGUUAUAUUUUGACCCGUUCGGCACCUUACGAGAAAUCAAAGUGCUUGGCUCCAGGGGAGUUGCCCGCC